UACGUAGGGCGCAAGCGUUGUCCGGAAUUAUUGGGCGUAAAGAGCUCGUAGGCGGUCUGUCGCGUCUGCCGUGAAAACCCGAGGCUUAACCUCGUGGCUUGCGGUGGAUACGGGCAGACUAGAGGUAGGUAGGGGAGAAUGGAAUUCCCGGUGUAGCGGUGAAAUGCGCAGAUAUCGGGAGGAACACCGGUGGCGGAGGCGGUUCUCUGGGCCUUACCUGACGCUGAGGAGCGAAAGCGUGGGGGAGCGAACAGG
rnacentral:rRNA from 1 species